rnacentral:tRNA from 1 species
GGGCGAAUAACUCAGCUGGUAGAGUGCAACCCUUACAAGGUUGAAGUCACAGGUUCGAGCCCUGUUUCGCCCA